GAAGAGUGUUUCGGGAAGAAGGAACGGUCACUGAGGGACUCAGCAUGUUUGGAGUCUAGCUGGUCUCCACACUCCCCUGGUCCACAUCCCCCACCCCAUGCCCUGCUGACAGCCCAGUGGAACACACCCUCCCAAUCUUGGCUCCACUGCUGAUCCUCCGACAUUCAAUUUACAGAGCCUCUUGAGCCCCAGGAACCCAUUGUGUAACUGAGGAGUCCAUGGUCUCAAUCAGCAGGAAAGGAGCCCUGGUCUCUGAAAUCACCUGAAGUUCAUGAGAUUCUCAUUCUGCUCAAAAAGAGAGAAGACACUUAAGUCUCACCCAGGCAGCAAGAUCAAAGCCCAUGGACUUCCACCCAGAUCUCCAGCUGCUCCAGACCAGGCACCACCUGGACCCUUAUGUCCUUCCAGCCUGAGAGAAAGUAAGAGAAAGCUCUGGCUCCACACCUGCCUGUCUGCCACACUCCUGACCUGCCUGUGUGGCCUGCGGAGUGCGCAUGCCCUCUCAGGGUUAGGAUGAGGGAGCCGCCCUGGCCUGCAGCCAGAGGCUUAAGGGAUAAGCCUAGAGAAACCGCUCCUGUCACCAUGGGCUUAGAGCGCCCAGCUCUGCUAGCUGGCCCAGCCAAGCCCUCCUUGAAGAGGAUAAGCUGUCAUCAGGAGACUUCUCACCCGCCCGCCACCCGGGCCUCCUUUUCUGAUUGUUUGCCAGGCUCCAAAGCUGCAUCGAUCUUUCAGGGAGACACCAGCACCCACGCACAAGUGCUUUGGGAAGAGCCGUGUGUCCACUGUAGCCCUCCACCUCAUGCCACGUGCACCCUCCACACCUGUGGCCCACAUCUUUGCACGGCCCACACGGCCUAUGUGCACGGGGACUUUCUGUCCUGUAUGCACCGUCAAACAUGGGCACACACACAAACUCAGGCAUGUAACAUAGCACGUGUCCCAUGGAGAUGAACACAUAGGUGCUCCAUUGCAUACACACACCUGCCCCUUCCUGAACCAGGGCCAUGUGAGGGUGAAGGGUGAGUCACCUGCUAAACCGUGGGAUCUGCUGAGCCAGCUGCAUGGGAAGCCCCGAGCUGACAAAUAUGGCCUCGGGGGACCAACACCCCAAGUGGAGCCCGCCCUGCCACCAGCCUCCAGCACCUCCAACCCUCUACUUUUACCUUAUUACCUCCUGCCCAUGCCCUCAGCCAGGACUCAUGACAGAAAGGCACCUCUGCCCUGGCUGGUGUGGCUCAGUGGACUGAGCACAGGCUGUGGGCCAAAGGGUUGCCGGUUCGAUUCCCAGUCAGAGCACAUGCCUGGGU